AAACAACUCUCCAUUUUUUCCUCUCUCAGAAUCUCUGCAACUUUUUACAAAACACAAUAUAUAUAUACACUCACCGAUUUUCAAGGAUUAGGGUUUUUCUCUCACUGUGAAGUUAUGACGGAACACGACGACCAUAAAGUGGAGAAAGAGGAGCAUGAUGAGUCACUGAUGGACAAAAUUUCUGAAAAACUUCAUUUCAGUAAUCAUUCAUCGUCGCCGGCACCGGCGUCGUCUUCGUCUGAUUCCGAUGAUGAGAAGAAAAAACCGACGUCACCAGCACCAGCAACGUCGUCGUUUGGGUCUAAAGUUCGUCGGCUCUUUGGUAGGGAACGUCCAGUUCAUAAAGUCUUCGGUGGUGGAAAACCUGCUGAUGUGUUCUUGUGGAGGAACAAGAAGAUUUCUGCAGGAUUUCUUGGCGGGGCAACAGCUAUCUGGGUUCUCUUUGAGGUAGUAGAAUACCAUUUGCUCACCUUGCUCUGUCAUGGUCUGAUGAUUGCUCUGGCUGGAUUGUUUUUGUGGAGCAAUGCUAGCACUUUCAUUCACAAAUCUGCUCCACACAUUCCAGAGGUUCACAUCCCUGAGAAGCCUGUUUUGGAGUUUGCCUCAGCUCUUAGGAAUGAGAUCAACCGUGCUUUGGCAGUUCUGAGGGAAAUUGCAUCUGGAAGGGAUUUGAAGAUGUUCCUUUUGGUCAUUGGUGGUUUGUGGCUCGCGUCAAUCUUGGGUGGUUGCUGUGAUUUCUUGACCCUGUUCUACAUAAUUGUUGUUGUGCUACACACAGUACCUGUUCUGUAUGAGAAAUACGAGGAUCAAGUGGAUGCAUUUGCGGAGAAAGCCUUGCAUGAACUCAAGAAACAGUACGCCGUCUUAGAUGCAAAGGUAUUGAGUAAAAUUCCUCGAGGGCCACUGAAAGAUAAGAAGAAAGAU
rnacentral:misc_RNA from 1 species